AUGGUGAGCGUCGUCUGCCGGCCCAGCCGCAUGCCGAGGAGGCCCAGGACGCCCUCUGCAAUGUUGCGCAUCGUGUUUAGCAGCGUCGGCAGCGCGCGGCUACCUACUUGGCACUGCGCCUGCACCGUCAGCCGCUCAAACCGCACCUCCACUGUCGGUAGCUCGAUGCCCACCCUGCAUGGAUCAACGUACCUGUCGAUGCGGUCGCGCAGCUUCUGGAGGAAGCGCUGGUUGUCCUCGUCGGCGACGCGGAAGACGCGCUCGAUGAACUCGUGCCGGUCGCUGACGUCGAGCCUCCGCACGUCCACCUCCUUGUACUGCUGCUGCUGCCCCUUGCCCUGUGCCUCGGCCGAGAAUAUGGCGGUCCUCAUGCGGCUGUAG
rnacentral:rRNA from 1 species